ensembl:lncRNA
CAGGCCCAAGGAUCAAUAAGUAAUUUUUUGCAGCUGAUUAGUUUGCGGCAUGAAGGUGGAUGCCAGAUCUGUCCUGAGGAUAUAAUCAAGCACUAAAAAGUAGCGUUUUUGCUGCUGUAAUGGGAGUAUAGGUGGGGGUAAUGGUAUGAUGUGAUACAUGUUUUGAGAAGAGAUGAACAUGAGGCCAUGAUGGAGGAAAAAGACCAUAGAGACGCAGCAGGGAGAUGCCUUAACACACACAGGGCUGGCUAGAGACCCCAACUAAGAUCAGAACCACUGGCCAGGUCCUAAAAAAGCUAAAUGAAUGACAUUCUUUCACUUGAGAGAAUCCGUGACCAUGGAAGCAUUGCUUCAAUCAGCUGGUGGAAAUUGAAAACAACCCUUGUUGUUUUCAGGGUGAUCAAGGUGGAGAGGAGAAGGUGGAGAGAUCAAGGUGGAGAGGAGAGUAAAGGAGUGGAGAGUAAAGGAGAGGAGAGUAAAGAAGAGGAGAGGAAAGGAGAGGAGAGUAAAGGAGAGGAAAGGAGAGGAGAGUAAAGGAGAUGGGAGUAAAGGAGAGUAAAGCAGAGGAGAGUAAAGAAGAAGAGAGUAAAGGAGAGGAGAGGAAAGGAGAGGAGAGUAAAGAAGAGGAGAGGAAAGGAGAGGAGAGUAAAGGAGAGGAAAGGAGAGGAGAGUAAAGGAGAUGGGAGUAAAGGAGAGUAAAGGAGAGGAGAGUAAAGAAGAAGAGAGUAAAGGAGAGGAGAGGAAAGGAGAGGAGAGUAAAGGAGAGGAAACGAGAGGAGAGUAAAGGAGAGGAGAGGAGAGUAAAGGAGAGGAGAGGAGAGUAAAGACUAUGAGAGUAAAGGAGAGGAGAGUAAAGGAGAAGAGAGUAAAGGAGAGGAGAGGAAAGGAGAGGAGAGUAAAGGAGAGGAAACGAGAGGAGAGUAAAGGAGAGGAGAGGAGAGUAAAGACUAUGAGAGGAGAAGAGGAGAGAGAGAAGGAGAGGAGAGUAAAGAAGAAGAGAGUAAAGGAGAGGAGAGGAAAGGAGAGGAGAGUAAAGGAGAGGAAACGAGAGGAGAGUAAAGGAGAGGAGAGGAGAGGAGAGGAGAGGAGAGUAAAGGAGAGGAGAGUAAAGGAGAGGAGAGUAAAGGAGAGGAGAGGAGAGUAAAGGAGAGGAGAGUAAAAGAGAGGAGAGUAAAGGAGAGGAGAGUAAAGGAGAGGAGAGGAGAGUAAAGGAGAGGAGAGUAAAGGAGAGGAGAGUAAAGGAGAGGAGAGGAGAGUAAAGGAGAGGAGAGUAAAAGAGAGGAGAGUAAAGGAGAGGAGAGUAAAGGAGAGGAGAGUAAAGGAGAGGAGAGUUAAGGAGAGGAGAGUAGAGGAGAGGAGAGGAGAGGAGAGUAAAGGAGAGGAGAGUAAAGGAGAGGAGAGUAAAGGAGAGGAGAGUAAAGGAGAGGAGAGUAAAGGAGAGGAGAGGAGAGUAAAGGAGAGGAGAGGAGAGUAAAGGAGAGGAGAGUAAAGGAGAGGAGAGUAAAGGAGAUGAGAGUAAAGGAGAGGAGAGGAGAGUAAAGGAGAGGAGAGUAGAUGAGAGGUGAGUAAAGGAGAGGAAAGGAGAGGAUAGUAAAGAAGAGGAUAGGAGAGUAAAGGAGAGGCAACUAAAGGAGAGGAGAGGAGAGUAAAAGAGAGGAGAGUUAAGGAGAGGAGAGGAGCAUAAAGGAGAGUAAAGGAGAGGGGGAAAAGGACAGGAGACUAAAGGAGAGGAGAGUAAAAGAGAGGAGAGUAAAAGAGAGGAGAGUAGAGGAGAGUAAAGGAGAGGAGAGUAAAGGAGAGGAGAGUAAAAGAGAGGAGAGUAAAAGAGAGGAGAGGAGAGUAAAAGAGAGGAGAGGAGAGUAAAGGAGAGGAGAGGAGAGUAAAGGAGAGGAGAGUAAAGGAGAGGAGAGUAAAAGAGAGGAGAGGAGACUAAAGGAGAGGAGAGGAGAGGAGCAUAAAGGAGAGUAAAGGAGAGGGGAAAAAAGGAGAGGAGACUAAAGGAGAGGAGAGUAAAGGAGAGGAGAGUAAAGGAGAGGAGAGGAUAGGAGAGGAGAGUAAUGGAGAGGAGAGUAAAGGAGAGGAGAGUAAAAUAGAGGAGAGUAAAAGAGAUGAGAGUAAAGGAGAUGAGAGGAGAGUAAAGGAGAGGAGAGUAAAGGGGAUGAGAGUAAAGGAGGGGAGAGUAAAGGAGAGGAGAGGAUAGGAGAGGAGAGUAAAGGAGAGGAGAGUAAAGGAGAUGAGAGUAAAAUAGAGGAGAGUAAAGGAGAUGAGAGUAAAGGAGAGGAGAGGAGAGAAAAUGAAAGGAAAGUAAAAUAAAAUCAUAGAAAUAUCUUAUUUACAUACGUAUUCAGACCCUCUGCUGUAUGACUUGAAAUUGAGCUCAGGUGCAUCCUGUUUCCAUUCAUCAUCUUUGACAUCCAGCUUUAUUGGAUAUUAUUUGGAAAGGCACACAUCUGUCUAUUUAAGGUCCCCAGUUGGCAGGUAAUGUCAGAGCAAAAACCCAGCCAUGAGGUUGAAGGAAUUGUCCGUAGAGCUUCUAGACUGGAUUGUGUCGAGGCACAGAUCUGGGGAAAGGUACCAACAAAUCUCUGCAGCAUUGGAGGUCCCCAAUAACACAGUGGCCUCCAUAAUUCCUAAAUGGAAGAAGAUUGUAACCACCAAGACUCUUCCUAGAGCUGGCUGCCUGGACAAACUGAGCAAUUGGGGGAGAAGGGCCUUGGUCAAGGAGGUGACCAAAAAUCUGAUGGUCAUUCUGAGAGAGCUCC